rnacentral:misc_RNA from 1 species
UUGAAUCCAAAGGAUGUUGCUGGCCUUUCAUCGAGGCAUGUGCACGCUCUCUUCUGGACUUUCGCCGUAUGGGCGCGGGGCGACCCGCGUCUUCAUAUACCUCUUCGUGUAGAAAGUCUUUGAAUGUUUUUACAAUCAUCGAGUCGUGACUUCUAGGAGACGCGAUUCUUUGAGACAAAAGUUAUCA